UUUUCUGUGCCUCAGUCAGUAGAGCAUUCCAAUAGCAAUGUAAAGGUUGUGGGUUCAAACCCCAAGGAAAG